rnacentral:rRNA from 1 species
GACGAACGCUGGCGGCGUGCUUAACACAUGCAAGUCGAACGGAAAGGCCCUGCUUUUGUGGGGUGCUCGAGUGGCGAACGGGUGAGUAACACGUGAGUAACCUGCCCUUGACUUUGGGAUAACUUCAGGAAACUGGGGCUAAUACCGGAUAGGAGCUCCUGCUGCAUGGGGGGGGUUGGAAAGUUUCGGCGGUUGGGGAUGGACUCGCGGCUUAUCAGCUUGUUGGUGGGGUAGUGGCUUACCAAGGCUUUGACGGGUAGCCGGCCUGAGAGGGUGACCGGCCACAUUGGGACUGAGAUACGGCCCCGACUCCUACGGGAGGCAGCAGUGGGGAAUAUUGCACAAUGGGCGGAAGCCUGAUGCAGCAACGCCGCGUGCGGGAUGACGGCCUUCGGGUUGUAAACCGCUUUCGCCUGUGACGAAGCGUGAGUGACGGUAAUGGGUAAAGAAGCACCGGCUAACUACGUG